GAUGAACGCUGGCGGCGUGCCUAAUACAUGCAAGUCGAGCGAACAGACGAGGAGCUUGCUCCUCUGACGUUAGCGGCGGACGGGUGAGUAACACGUGGAUAACCUACCUAUAAGACUGGGAUAACUUCGGGAAACCGGAGCUAAUACCGGAUAAUAUAUUGAACCGCAUGGUUCAAUAGUGAAAGACGGUUUUGCUGUCACUUAUAGAUGGAUCCGCGCCGCAUUAGCUAGUUGGUAAGGUAACGGCUUACCAAGGCAACGAUGCGUAGCCGACCUGAGAGGGUGAUCGGCCACACUGGAACUGAGACACGGUCCAGACUCCUACGGGAGGCAGCAGUAGGGAAUCUUCCGCAAUGGGCGAAAGCUUGACGGAGCAACGCCGCGUGAGUGAUGAAGGUCUUCGGAUCGUAAACCUCUGUUAUUAGGGAAGAACAAAUGUGUAGGUAACUAUGCACGUCUUGACGGUACCUAAUCAGAAAGCCACGGCUAACUACGUG
rnacentral:rRNA from 1 species